rnacentral:lncRNA from 1 species
UCCCCUAAUGUUCUGAGACUCAUGAGACUAUGUGUAUCCAUGUCCACAAAGCAUAAUAUCUGAUCAUUUAAAAUUAAAUAAUAUAAAAUAAAAUUAAUAAUUAAUAAUUAAUAAUAUAAAAUAGAAUAAAAAUAUCAAGUGUAUAAAAAAUAGUUCAAUAAAAGUUUUAAAAAUAUUAAGUAUAAAUCUAAAAAAUACUAAAUCCCACAAGGACGUCGUGGUG